GNGAUCNUUANUACGGCGAGUGAAGCGGCAAAAGCUCAAAUUUGAAAUCUGGUACCUUCGGUGCCCGACUUGUAAUUUGGAGAGGGCAACUUUGGGGCCGCUUCCUUGUCUAUGUUCCUUGGAACAGGACGUCAUAGAGGGUGAGAAUCCCGUGUGGCGAGGAGUGCGGUUCUUUGUAAAGUGCCUUCGAAGAGUCGAGUUGUUUGGGAAUGCAGCUCUAAGUGGGUGGUAAAUUCCAUCUAAAGCUAAAUAUUGGCGAGAGACCGAUAGCGAACAAGUACAGUGAUGGAAAGAUGAAAAGAACUUUGAAAAGAGAGUGAAAAAGUACGUGAAAUUGUUGAAAGGGAAGGGCAUUUGAUCAGACAUGGUGUUUUGUGCCCUCUGCUCCUUGUGGGUAGGGGAAUCUCGCAUUUCACUGGGCCAGCAUCAGUUUUGGUGGCAGGAUAAAUCCAUAGGAAUGUAGCUUGCCUCGGUAAGUAUUAUAGCCUGUGGGAAUACUGCCAGCUGGGACUGAGGACUGCGACGUAAGUCAAGGAUGCUGGCAUAAUGGUUAUAUGCCGCCCGUCUUGAAACACGGACCAAANUAUUUCAA
rnacentral:rRNA from 1 species